GGCGCUGUGGCUUAGUUUGGUCAAAGUGCCUGUCUAGUAAACAGGAGAUCCUAGGUUAAAAUCCCAGCAGUGCCU
rnacentral:tRNA from 1 species